rnacentral:rRNA from 1 species
GACGAACGCUGGCGGCGUGCCUAAUACAUGCAAGUAGAACGCUGAAGGAGGAGCUUGCUCUUCUGGAUGAGUUGCGAACGGGUGAGUAACGCGUAGGUAACCUGCCUGGGUAGCGGGGGAUAACUAUUGGAAACGAUAGCUAAUACCGCAUAACAGUAGAUGUUGCAUGACAUUUGCUUAAAAGGUGCAAUUGCAUCACUACCAGAUGGACCUGCGUUGUAUUAGCUAGUUGGUGGGGUAACGGCUCACCAAGGCGACGAUACAUAGCCGACCUGAGAGGGUGAUCGGCCACACUGGGACUGAGACACGGCCCAGACUCCUACGGGAGGCAGCAGUAGGGAAUCUUCGGCAAUGGACGGAAGUCUGACCGAGCAACGCCGCGUGAGUGAAGAAGGUUUUCGGAUCGUAAAGCUCUGUUGUAAGAGAAGAACGAGUGUGAGAGUGGAAAGUUCACACUGUGACGGUAUCUUACCAGAAAGGG